rnacentral:lncRNA from 1 species
AGAAAAUGAGCUGACUCCUUGCUUUUCCAUGAUGCAUAUUCAAUAAUAUUUUACACACCUGAUUCACCUUGCAGAUAGUUUAGCACUGAUCUUCUGCAUUUGUGGACCUUAGGAUAGAUAUGUAUACAGACUUCCUGAUCUAUUUAUUUUUUUGCUUAUAUCUGCUUACAGAGCUUGAGUAGGAUACAUUUUGACAUCUUAAUUAAAAGACUGCAGGUUUUCAAGUCUGAUAUCAUCCUUUCUAGUUACUGUUUUGUUUUUGUCACCUUCUAAUAUUUUGCCCAGCUCCCAUACUCUAAUCGCUAUAGCUUGUCCUUCUCAUUUGAUAUUGGAUCUUCAGAUUUAUAAGGACCAUCCUAAACUUCUUACAGAUUUCUGUCCUCUUUCCAAGAAUGUUGUUCUGUUUGUAGGUUAUUAUUUCACCCUUUGUUACUUACACAACUGAUGUUUUUUCUUACCUCAUUUAAAUGCCUCGUAGUUCUUUUUACAGUGUGGUGAAUUUCUCUACAUUUCUGUCUGGUCUCAUACUCUUUUGUUCAAUCACGUAUUUCUUCUAGUGUUUUGCUUAUCCUUCUUACAUUUCUUCUGUUAUAUUUGUAUCUGCAAUACAGUUAUAUUACCACAGCCUUUUAUUGCAGUGUAAUACAAUAAUACAUAACGUUGCUUUUCUUUUUUCUUUUUUUUUUUUCUUUUUUUUCAUAAGAAAACCUAGCUACACAGACUGAACUUCAUUUAUUAGCACAGAGUUCCUGUAAAAUGUCCCUCGUCUCCAGCUCAGGAGAGACUUUAAAAUGCAAUACUAUUCCCAAAUAGUGAACUUCAGUUGCCCUCUACAAAUGAGGUUGAUUUUUACCAUACAAGAACAAGCAUGAACUUUAUGUCGUGGUUUGGCAGUCAUUAAAUAUUUCAGAGACAUCCUUGCAAAGACACCACACGCUUCUGUCAACAAGGAAGAAAACUCAUGUUGCUUUUGCAAAGCUUAGAUGGAGUAUGUCUCAGUUCUGGAACGAAGGAAGGCUGCGGGCGGGAGCAUGCUGAUCUACCCCUGCUCCACAGCUUCUGAUUUAAUUAAAACAAGACAGAUGGAGUGCUGUUCAUUAGUCCAUAUUCACCUGCUUUUCCUUUGUCAUCUCGGAAAAGUGGAGGAAGAAAGGGAAAGAGUCUGGAAACCAACAUUAAACAUUAUGGUCAAGAGUAAGUCUAAACACAUAACACCAGUGGUAUUCCCCAAUAUUCUCUGUCUGCUUAUUAGCUGUGUUUUCACCUUUUAAUUUAAUGAAAUCCUGACAAAGCUGAGUAUGUGUAAGGUGGAUGUUACAAUUUUACAUUGUUUUGUUGUGAAGAAGGUUGUGU